rnacentral:rRNA from 1 species
GACGAACGCUGGCGGCGUGCUUAACACAUGCAAGUCGAACGGAAAGGCCCUGCUUUUGUGGGGUGCUCGAGUGGCGAACGGGUGAGUAACACGUGAGUAACCUGCCCUUGACUUUGGGAUAACUUCAGGAAACUGGGGCUAAUACCGGAUAGGAGCUCCUGCUGCAUGGUGGGGGUUGGAAAGUUUCGGCGGUUGGGGAUGGACUCGCGGCUUAUCAGCUUGUUGGUGGGGUAGUGGCUUACCAAGGCUUUGACGGGUAGCCGGCCUGAGAGGGUGACCGGCCACAUUGGUACUGCGAUAGGGCGCAGACUCGUACGGGGGACAGCAGUGGGAAAUAUUGCACAGUGGGCGGAAGCCUGAUGCAGCAGCGCCGCGGGUGGGAUGACGGCCUUCGGGUUGUAAACCGCUUUCGCCUGUGACGAAGCGUGAGUGACGGUAAUGGGUAAAGAAGCACCGGCUAACUACGUG